rnacentral:rRNA from 1 species
GUAGGGAAUAUUGGACAAUGGGGGCAACCCUGAUCCAGCGACGCCGCGUGAGUGAUGAAGGCCUUCGGGUCGUAAAGCUCUGUUGCAGGGGAAGAACACAAUGACGGUACCCUGCUAGAAAGGAUCGGCUAACUUCGUGCCAGCAGCCGCGGUAAGACGAGGGAUCCUAGCGUUGUUCGGAAUCAUUGGGCGUAAAGCGGGUGCAGGUGGCUUGGUAAGUCAGAUGUGAAAGCCUGGGGCUUAACCCCAGAAGUGCAUUUGAUACUGCUGAGCUUGAGUGCUGGAGAGGCUAUUAGAAUUCCUGGUGUAGUGGUGAAAUACGUAGAUAACAGGAGGAAUACCGGAGGCGAAGGCGGAUAGCUGGCCAGACACUGACACUCAGACCCGAAAGCGUGGGGGUCAAACAGGAUUAGAUACCCGAGUAGUCC